rnacentral:rRNA from 1 species
CAGCAGCCGCGGUAAUACGAAGGGUGCAAGCGUUACUCGGAAUUACUGGGCGUAAAGCGUGCGUAGGUGGUGGUUUAAGUCCGUUGUGGAAGCCCUGGGCUCAACCUGGGAAUUGCAGUGGAUACUGGGUCACUAGAGUGUGGUAGAGGAUAGUGGAAUUUCCGGUGUAGCAGUGAAAUGCGUAGAGAUCGGAAGGAACAUCUGUGGCGAAGGCGACUAUCUGGGCCAACACUGACACUGAGGCACGAAAGCGUGGGGAGCAAACAGGAUUAGAUACCCCUGUAGUCCCUGUCUCUUAUAC